UACGAAGGGGGCUAGCGUUGCUCGGAAUCACUGGGCGUAAAGGGUGCGUAGGCGGGUCUUUAAGUCAGGGGUGAAAUCCUGGAGCUCAACUCCAGAACUGCCUUUGAUACUGAAGAUCUUGAGUUCGGGAGAGGUGAGUGGAACUGCGAGUGUAGAGGUGAAAUUCGUAGAUAUUCGCAAGAACACCAGUGGCGAAGGCGGCUCACUGGCCCGAUACUGACGCUGAGGCACGAAAGCGUUGGGGGAG
rnacentral:rRNA from 1 species